ACUAGACCCAGAGUGUGAAGAGCCCUAAUUUCUUGCGAGGAAGGGAGAGGAUCGAAGGCGAUGCCGGCAGUCCAGGCUCCCGGCUUCCGGGAUAGAUUCAUGCGCGCCAUCGGGCGGCGCAACUCAGUCUACCUCUCCUUUGUUCUCGUGGGCGGCAUUAUCGGCGAGCACUACACAAACAAGAUCUUUGAUAGCUGGUGGAUCAGCCACAACCGCGGGAAACUUUUCGAGGACAUUCCAGGGCUGGGCUCGAGAGCGGCAGCAGAGUAAGCAAACAUGGAUCAAGAGAAAACUUUUUUUCUCUUUGCUUUGAUGAACUGAUAAAGAUCAAUGUGAUAAAAAAACAGUUAUAUUUUU